rnacentral:rRNA from 1 species
GACGAACGCUGGCGGCGUGCUUAACACAUGCAAGUCGAACGGAAAGGCCUUUUCGGAGGUACUCGAGUGGCGAACGGGUGAGUAACACGGGGGUGAUCUGCCCUGCACUCUGGGAUAAGCCUGGGAAACUGGGUCUAAUACCGGAUAGGACCGCACUUUAGUGUGUGUGGUGGAAAGUUUUUUCGGUGUAGGAUGAGCUCGCGGCCUAUCAGCUUGUUGUUGGGGUAAUGGCGUACCAAGGCGGCGACGGGUAGCCGGACUGAGCGGUUGUGCGGCGACAUUGGGACUGAGAGACGGCCCAGACUCCUACGGGAGGCAGAAGUGGGGAAGAUUGAACAAUGGGCGCCAGCCUGAUGCAGAGACGCCGCGUGGGGGAGGACGGCCUUCGGGUUGUAGAAUCCUUUCGCCAGGGACGAAGCGUUUUGUGACGGUACCUGGAGAAGAAGCACCGGCUAACUACGUG